rnacentral:rRNA from 1 species
UACGUAGGGUGCGAGCGUUGUCCGGAAUUAUUUGGGCGUAAAGGGCUCGUAGGCGGUUUGUCGCGUCGGGAGUGAAAACUCAGGGCUUAACUCUGAGCUGGCUUCCGAUACGGGCAGACUAGAGGUAUGCAGGGGAGAACGGAAUUCCUGGUGUAGCGGUGAAAUGCGCAGAUAUCAGGAGGAACACCGGUGGCGAAGGUGGUUCUCUGGGCAUUUACCUGACGCUGAGGAGCGAAAGUGUGGGGAGCGAACAGG